rnacentral:rRNA from 1 species
AAUUCGAUGCAACGCGAAGAACCUUACCUACUCUUGACAUCCAGAGAACUUAGCAGAGAUGCUUUGGUGCCUUCGGGAACUCUGAGACAGGUGCUGCAUGGCUGUCGUCAGCUCGUGUUGUGAAAUGUUGGGUUAAGUCCCGCAACGAGCGCAACCCUUGCCAUUAGUUGCUACGAAAGGGCACUCUAAUGGGACUGCCGGUGACAAACCGGAGGAAGUGGGGAUGACGUCAAGUCCUCAUGGCCCUUAUAGGUGGGGCUACACACGUCAUACAAUGGCCGGUACAGAGGGUAGCCAACCCGCGAGGGGGAGCCAAUCCCACAAAGCCGGUCGUAGUCCGGAUCGCAGUCUGCAACUCGACUGCGUGAAGUCGGAAUCGCUAGUAAUCGUGGAUCAGCAUGUCACGGUGAAUACGUUCCCGGGUCUU